rnacentral:lncRNA from 1 species
CAGGUCAUUCGGCUCCAAAAACGGUCGAUGAGUUGGCCAACUUAGGCGAAAAAUUGAGAAGCGCACACACACACCCCGCCAUCACCAUCUGUGUGUGGCACACUGGCCCCAGACCCAGACCCAGACCCAGACCCAAGAGAAAUUGCCGCAAAUAUUAUUCUGAAAUGCAUUUUCCAUGCACAUCGAGCUAAGGAACUGCCAUUAUGUUUUAUGCC